rnacentral:rRNA from 1 species
GCUCGCGCCUAUCAGCUUGUUGGUGAGGUAAUGGCUCACCAAGGCGACGACGGGUAGCCGGCCUGAGAGGGCGACCGGCCACACUGGGACUGAGACACGGCCCAGACUCCUACGGGAGGCAGCAGUGGGGAAUAUUGCACAAUGGGCGAAAGCCUGAUGCAGCGACGCCGCGUGAGGGAUGAAGGCCUUCGGGUUGUAAACCUCUUUCAGUAGGGAAGAAGCGCAAGUGACGGUACCUACAGAAGAAGCACCGGCUAACUACGUGCCAGCAGCCGCGGUAAUACGUAGGGUGCGAGCGUUGUCCGGAAUUAUUGGGCGUAAAGAGCUUGUAGGCGGUUUGUCGCGUCUGCCGUGAAAAUCCGGGGCUCAACUCCGGACUUGCGGUGGGUACGGGCAGACUAGAGUGUGGUAGGGGAGACUGGAAUUCCUGGUGUAGCGGUGAAAUGCGCAGAUAUCAGGAGGAACACCGAGUGGCGAAGGCAGGUCUCUG